UACCUGUACUUCAAAACCCAUAAAAUAUGAUUGUUUUAUUAAAAUACGAUAUUGCACUGUAUUAUUUAUCUAUAGUGAACAAAACUUUAUUUGUAGUUCAUCUUCCACUGCCUACUAUCAGGUUGCCAUGGUGAUCUGAUUCAUCUAGGGAUGUCACAAUGAAACCUGAGCCAUGGCUAUCUGAUGUAGUGAUGUCACAAUGUAACCUGUACUGCUUACUGAUUUAACUGUCAUAGUUGUUACUAGCUAGUCAGCUGUUAGGAGCUUUUAGGAGCUGUUAGGAGCUGAAUAGCUAAUUCAUCUGAACCUUUUCUGAAUCUGAAUAUUUUUCUACCUAUCUACACAUUCAUCAACUAGAAAGAAUUUUAGAAUGAAUUCAUUUAGAGAGACUGAGACAAUUCGCACAACUGAGAGAACAGUGACAAUGGUGCUAAGAAGGAGAAAGCAUCCAUCUCAUUCCCAGGGGAUCAGGAAACUACAAGGUGCUGGAUACAUGGACAGCCCAAAAUUGAAAAUUAUUCUUCUUUUGCUCAUUGCUUUGCUACUUGUUUGCCUUGCAAUACUGAGUUGGAUUGUUCUGAAGAAAAAUGAGAAAAUUGAAAAGCUGGAGAAUCAAAUACAAGUUCUGGGCACUCAAGUGAGGAAACUUGUUGAGAAGGAACAGAAACUCACUGAGAUUAUUACAGUUCUUGAGAAAAAAUUCCAAGAAUCAGCAGAUAAAGUUGAAACUUUAGCCAGGAAAAUGCAGCAAUCGGAAACUCCAGAGAACUUUGCAAAUUUGGGAUCAUCCCGUGACACACAGGAUGAAGUAACCCUUUCACAGAAGGCUUCAAUGUAUUUCUUGAAGCUGUUAAAAAUAUUGUUCUGAGCUAGAAAAAGUCAGCUCAGAGGGGCUUGGCCUACAUUUGUAUGGGGUAGGGUGGGAGGUGGGUUAUCCCUGUACACAGGCCAGCUGCUAUACAGUCAUUUCACCUUGUUCUAGGAACCCCAUUACUGACUUGUCUGGUUCCAUCAACAUGAACCAACCACAAUGGUUCCUUACCAAUUCUGGUGCAGCAAUAUUUUACUUUAUGUACCGUAAUGUUAGAUACUUAUGUAUUUUCUACUAAAGAUAGUAACAUAUAUUGCUAAGAAACAGUAAUAAAAAGACUAUGGGAAGAACCGUAA